CCCAGAAAUAGAUGCUUCUCCACCUCCAUAGCAACAUUUCUGUGAAUGACCAUUUCAAGUGCUCCACACCGUUUCCAAAGCUUGUAGGAACUUCACGUAACCCACAGCACCCCACUGAUAAAAUGCAAGUGAAAAGCUUGUGGCAGGAUGGUUAAAGGAUGGCAGACUGAGUGGGGGUUUGAAUUAACUCCCAGUAGUUACUUCGAUAAGCUUCCAUUCAGAAAUUGUGGGUGGGAUUUAUCUCCAUUUACAAGUGGAAUCCAAUUAGCUCCCUCUGCAGACAGCGAAGACAGGUCUGGGAGCGACCUCCACCCUGUGGCCUGGCAGCUGCUUGGAGGGACUUCAGGAGGAGAUGAAGAAAGGCUCCGCGGCCUCAGAUGACCUCAUCCUGCAGAACAGUGUGCAAUGGAAGGAUGGGCAUAAUUUCACAAGAGCAAGAGGAGCAGAACACCCUCCAGCCGGAGGAGAGGAGGUGAAAAUCUGAUCCCCCAGGCUAUGCAGUGAGCCCAGAAUCCAUCAGAGCCUGGGGCAGCUUCAGUGAGCCACUGCUCUGCAGCCAUUUAGCAAAGCUGGGGCUCAUUUAAGCUCUGUGUACCUUUAGCUGUGGUUUAACUCUGCAACUGUCUCAGUACAAGUUGCAUCAAAAGGACGAGGGAGAUGAAUGUAAACCAAGCAGCUUAUACUGGGUCAUAAACAAGUUGCUGUGUUUUUUGUCUUUUUUCUUGCUCUUAAAUCAUACAGGCUAACUUAUGCUUUAUAACUGCUCUCCCACACUAAAGCAAAACUAAUUCUUCACUGCGUAGCACAUUUAAAAGCCCAGAGUAUUCUUAAGGAUGUUGACACUGAAGUAGGAUUCCUAAGCAUUCCCACAGGUUUUCUAUAUAGCCAGUACCAAAAAUCAGCGCUCUGCAGAGCAGCUCAUGUCCUUUGGGUGCCCAGAUUUGGGCCAUGUCCCACUCCCCAGGCACGUGCCUCACUCCUUGCUGACAUGGAGAUUUCACUUGGACUGGGCACCUCGCUUUUAGAAAGCCCAUGGGAGCUGAGAUGAAUUGUCCCUAUCUCUACAGAAACGGCUGCUAAUAAGAGCCAUUUCACAUCAAAGACACAGAGAUAUGGAGACGAUCACUUAGUGCAUUUGGGUCCG
ensembl:lncRNA